rnacentral:sRNA from 1 species
CCGUCAUUGAGAGAUGUGCACCAUGAGCCUGUGUACCCCCAGCCGCCUUUCAGCUACUCCGAUCUGUCUCGAGAGGACAAAAAGCAAGUACAGUUUGUGUCCGAGCCCUGCAGCCUCUCCAUAAACGGAGUGAUCUUCGGCUUGACGUCCACGGAUCUGCUUUUCCACCUGGGGGCCGAGGAGAUCAGUAGUUCUUCUGGAACUUCAGACAGAUUCAGCCGAAUACUCAAGCACAUCCUGACCCAGAGGAGCUGCCUGUCACCCCAGAUAUCCUCAUCAUCCCGUCAGAGCUGAGGUACUUCGUGAAGGAUGUCCUCGGCUGUGUCUGUGUGAACCCCGGUCGGCUUACCAAAGGGCAGGUGGGAGGCACCUUCGCCCGACUCUACCUCAGGAGGCCGGCAGCGGAAGGGGCAGAGAGGCAGAGCCCAUGCGUUGCUGCGCAGGUCGUCAGGAUCUGAGGCUUCUGUCCUCUGCUGUUCUCUGCUGUGUGGGCCCUUAAAGUCUUAGCCAAGAGCCAAGACGUAGCCCUGUGACAAGGUGAACAGUUGGGUGGGAAAGGAGAGAGGAGCCAGCCAGGGAGGGGCAGCCGCAGUGACCAGGCCCAGCAGGGAGGGCUUGUGCAGCCGGGCCUGCCUGUGAGUGGUGCCUCUCCUGGAAGGAAGCUCUUGCUUCUCAGUCCGUGCUCUGUGUCCAGAAGUAAGCCAGCUAUGGAUCCCGCCCACUCAGAAAAGGCGAGAAAGC